UACGUAGGGUGCAAGCGUUGCCCGGAUUUAUUGGGCGUAAAGGGCGCGUAGGCGGCUCUGCACGUCCGUUGUGAAAUCGCCCGGCUCAACUGGGCGGGGUCAGCGGAUACGGCAGAGCUUGAGCAAGCUAGGGGGCAAUGGAAUUCCCGGUGUAGUGGUGGAAUGCGCAGAUAUCAGGAGGAACACCGGUGGCGAAGGCGGGUCUCUGGGCAGUAACUGACGCUGAGGAGCGAAAGCGUGGGGAGCGAACAGG
rnacentral:rRNA from 1 species